AAAGUUGUUUCAUUGAAGUGUGGUUCUGAUUUUUGACAAUUCAAAUUCAAAGAAGUUCUGGUGUGAUUUCAAGUGUGUUUCGGUUCAAUCACAUCUGGUUUCAUUUGCUUUUGGUGUUUAUUCUUCUGUAAAUUAUCUUUGGGUUGCUGGGUAUUUCUGGGAUAUGAAAUCGAUCCAAUUGCCUUGGCUCUGGGCUACUGUCUGCUAUUGUUUUAGCUGACCUUCCUUUUUUUAUUUCUAUUCUAUUUCCAGGUAUAUGCUUAAUCUCAAGAGGUAUUGGAGAUUGUAUCAGC
rnacentral:lncRNA from 1 species